ACGUUAAAUUCUGCAGACCGGAAUGCAUACCAGCUAUAUUGUUAAGGAGAGACAAAACAAAUAAGCGAGGAAUUGUGAAACUGGGGGAAGCUUUCUGAGUCAAAAUCAUUUAUCCAAGAGUAGUACCUAUCUGCUACUAAAAUAAGGAAUUUCAUUUUUUUCAAAAGACUCCUUACUCUGUAUGCGUAUUUCUUCUGGCAAUUGCUGAUGAGUCAAUCAACCCUUUGCAUUAGGUUUUCUAUGUGGUAACACAGGACAAGUCUGAGGUCUAUUUUAGAAUGUUGAAAAGUAAUGGAGACAUGUAAUGCUUUUGUUCUGAAUAUGACUAAUUGUGGUUAUUUUAAAUUCAGGACCUGGCCCUUCAUUAUCAAAAGCCCCAAGCAGUAUAAAAACCUUUCUUUCAUGGACGCAAUGAAUAAGUUUAAAUGGGCUAAGAAGGAAGGUCUUUCCUUCAACAAGCUUGUCCUUAGCUUGCCUGUGAACGUGAGAUGCUCCAAGACAGACAAUGCAGAGUGGUCGAUUCAAGGGAUGACAGCAUUACCUCCCCAUGUGGAAAGACCGUAUAAAGCAGAGCCUUUGGUGUGUGGAACCUCUUCUUCCUCUUCUGUGCACAGAAAUCGCUCUCUUGAGCUGCUCGUGGGCUUCAUGGUACUCGGCAGCAUGCUGCACAGCACACGCUUGUGGUCAUCAUUCUGUGCCUGGGGACGGUGUUUCCUGUGAUCCAAACGUGUCGGGUUAAAGACACUGUGGUCAUGAAGAGUGAGCACGAGGCCUGUGGAGAACUUCCGGUCACACACGCCCUGCCUCCCUACGUCCAUCCUUCCCUGUCUACCUGAGAGAUGUCCAUUGGGUUUUCUUCUUUUGCUCAGAUAUGUCAGAUAACAUGUAUCCAUUGCCAAUAAAGCAAAACUGGACUGACUUACAACCUUUUAACAAUUUGGACAAAGUCAAGUGGAAGUGAAAGAGGUCUUUAUUUCCUUCCAUGGUUCAUUUUAUUUAAAGACUCAUUACCGUUAUUUCACUUUUUAAUUGGUGAUUUGGCUUCCAGAUUCCUUUCUUAAAAUGCUUUCACCUUAAAAAUGUAAAAGAAAGUACGCUCUGUUCCAUGUUUCUUCCUCUUUAAAAUUGUUUUUUUUUUUUUAAUUUUUUUAAUCUUCCUCUUUAUUGUUCUUUGGGUGUGACUUCCGCAGUGUGACAAUGGUCCUCUCUGUCCUUCAGUGUUAACCCAGCUCUGCCCUUUUCUGUGAAAAACUGAUGGGCCCCUUACCUCAGUGCUUUUCAGUGAUGCCCAUUUAGCUUCUUUGUUUAUCUGAGUCUACUGGUAUUCCCAAACUACCCCAAACCCAUCUCAAAGUAUUUUCUUUUUCCUUCCCUGCUCAGUGCUGACCAGGUGAGUUUUUUUCUUGAGUUCUGUCACUCUCUAAAAAGAAAGAAGCUAAGGGAAACACAGAAAUGGUACAUAAUGGAUUGGAGGCUGAGGAGGAAAUGUAGCUGGCUGCAAACCCUGUGCUGUGAGGGGUCCUUCAUGAGGUUCCAGGUCAAAGGCCAGGUAGUACAAGCCAGCCUAGGAGGGUGGGAGGUCCCUGCAGCUCCUCACUGACCAUGUUGAGUGUCAUGUGUGUUGUAUCCUGACUCAAUUUAAGUCCCAGUUGCUAAGGUAGAUUUAUUUUUGUGUUAGUUAGUAAACUAACUUUCCUUAGAAAAACCGUCACCAAUGGAAAAUCUUGUCACUUUUUGGGUUCCCUUUGUGUAGUUCAGCCAAAUCUUGUUGCGUGUCCUUCCCUCAUUUCUUAAGCUAAGUCUGUUUGGCUCAUAUUAAUAAACUAAAUAAAAUUAAAUGUUUGUGUGGAAUCUUGUACACUCUUUGAAAGAAGCAAGAGAUCCGGGACUGAUGUGUCCAGUCAAAAGGAUUAAGAAUGUUGCAUUUUUGUAUUCCGUUUGUAAGCCCUCUCUCCUGCAAACAAUGUCUUCAACACAAACUAUAUCGUCUUUUAAAUAAACAGUGUAUUUUGGAGUGUU